rnacentral:rRNA from 1 species
GAUGAACGCUGGCGGCGUGCUUAAUACAUGCAAGUCGAGCGAACAGACGCGGCUCUUGCUCCUCUGUCGUUAGCGGCGGACGGGUGAGUCACACGUGGAUAACCUACCUAUCAGUCUGGGAUCAUUUCGGGAAACCGGCGCUUAUCCCGGAUAAUAUAUUGCUCCGUAUGGUUCAAUGGUGAAAGUCGGUUUUGGUGGCACUUCUCGCUGGUUCCGCGCCGCUUUAGCUGGUUGGGAAGGUAACGGGUUACGACGGCAAGGAGGCGUAGGCGACCGGACAGAGUGAUCGGCCACACGGGAGCGUAGACACGGACCAUACUCCUACGAGAGGCAGCAGUAGGGAAUCUGCCGCAAUGGGCGAAAGCCUGACGGAGCAACGCCGCGUGAGAGAUGAAGGUCUUCGGAUCGUAAAACUCUGUUAUUAGGGAAGAACAAAUGUGUAAGUAACUAUGCACGUCGUGACGGUACCGAAUCAGAAAGCCACGGCUAACUACGUG